AUUCUACUCCCUCUGUUGCACAAUACAUGCCUUCUAUUUGUCAAAAUAUAUAUGUAUCUAGACAUGUUUUAGUAUAUAGGUACAUCCAUUUCUGGACAAAUGGAAGUCAAGUAUUUUGGAACGGAGGGAGUACACA
rnacentral:pre_miRNA from 1 species